AUGCGUGAUCAGGUCGGCAUCGACCUGGACGGCUUCCCCCUCGACCACGAGUUCCCGAAGGACUAUGGGCUAGAGGAAGAGGACGAGUGCGACAUCGAAGUGGAGCCUUUGUUCGAGGACGAGCUCGCCAAACAAACCGCCGGUCCUAAGCCGAAGCGCAAGAGCAAGCGCACGAAGGCGUACACAGCUGCCGAGGACAAGCUUCUUUGCGAGUGUUGGUGAGACAUUGUACAAGACCCAAAGACGGGCGCCGAGCAAAAGCAUUCGACCUUUUGGACUCGUGUGCACCGCGGGUUUCAAGCCGCCCUCUUUUGUGCCAUCAAGAUCAUUCUUUUACGUCUUCAUUUGCUAUCACUUGCCCAUAUGCUUGCAUGGAAACAUUUUGUAGGCAUUUCAAGCUUUGGAGAUAUUCAAGGUUCAACACAAUGGCAAGUGCUUCAACCUCUCCCAUUGCUAUCGGGUCAUCAAGGACGAAGAGAAGUUCAAGGCACAAUAUGCCGCGCUCAAGGCACGUGGGGGGAAGGGCGCCGUGGAGGAUGUUGGGGAGGGCGAGCCGGCACGGCCGCGGGGGAAGACCAACUCCAAGAAGGAGGACAAGCGAGAUGCGGCCACCAACGCCUUGAUCGCAAGCGUGGACGGCAUGAUGAAUAA
rnacentral:rRNA from 1 species